rnacentral:tRNA from 1 species
UUCCUGGUGGCUCAGUGGUAAAGAAUCUGCCUGCCAGUGCAGGAGACGUGGGUUUGAAUCCAAUCCAGGAAG